rnacentral:misc_RNA from 1 species
UGUGUAGAGAACCUGAG